AUUGAACGCUGGCGGCGUGCUUAACACAUGCAAGUCGAUCGGUAACAGGUGUAGCAAUACAUGCUGACGAGAGGCGGACGGGUGAGUAAUGCUUGGGAAUCUGCCUAUUAGUGGGGGACAACCCGGGGAAACUCGGGCUAAUACCGCAUACGCUCUACGGAGGAAAGCCGGGGACCGCAAGGCCUGGCGCUAAUAGAUGAGCCCAAGUCGGAUUAGCUAGUUGGUAGGGUAACGGCCUACCAAGGCGACAAUCCGUAGCUGGUCUGAGAGGACGACCAGCCACACCGGAACUGAGACACGGUCCGGACUCCUACGGGAGGCAGCAGUGGGGAAUAUUGGACAAUGGGGGCAACCCUGAUCCAGCGACGCCGCGUGGGUGAAGAAGGCCUGCGGGUU
rnacentral:rRNA from 1 species